rnacentral:rRNA from 1 species
UACGCAGGGUGCGAGCGUUAAUCGGAAUUACUGGGCGUAAAGCGUGCGCAGGCGGUUUUGUAAGCCAGAUGUGAAAGCCCCGGGCUUAACCUGGGAAUGGCAUUUGGGACUGCAAGGCUUGAGUGCGGCAGAGGAGACUGGAAUUCCUGGUGUAGCAGUGAAAUGCGUAGAUAUCAGGAGGAAUACCGAUGGCGAAGGCAGGUCUCUGGGCUGACACUGACGCUCAUGCACGAAAGCGUGGGGAGCAAACAGG